UACGUAGGUGGCAAGCGUUAUCCGGAAUUAUUGGGCGUAAAGAGGGAGCAGGCGGCAGCAAAGGUCUGUGGUGAAAGACUGAAGCUUAACUUCAGUAAGCCAUAGAAACCGGGCAGCUAGGGUGCAGGAGAGGAUCGUGGAAUUCCAUGUGUAGCGGUGAAAUGCGUAGAUAUAUGGAGGAACACCAGUGGCGAAGGCGACGAUCUGGCCUGCAACUGACGCUCAGUCCCGAAAGCGUGGGGAGCAAAUAGG
rnacentral:rRNA from 1 species